AGUUCAGGGGACAUCUCACCAGGGACAAUCUAAUGAGAAGAUCCUAAGUGAGUGUGUCUCCAGGGCCUGUCAGACCAGGGCUCUUGACCUCCCGCCAAUCGAUCCGGAUGCUUUCAACCCGAUUAUCAUCCGGUUUCUGGAAAAACUUACUGAGGAGCAAUGGAGGCAGUUAAGCAUUGGCAGGAUGGACCCUGUGAUGAGGGCAUUGCUUGCAGAGAUGUGCCUGGAGAUUGUGCGGUUUGUA